rnacentral:tRNA from 1 species
GCCUCUGUGGUGCAAUCCGUUAGCAUGUUUGGCUGGUAACCCAAAAGGUUUGUGGUUUGAGCCCACCCACAGACA